GACGAACGCUGGCGGCGUGCUUAACACAUGCAAGUCGAACGGUGAAAGGGAGCUUGCUCCCUGAAUCAGUGGCGAACGGGUGAGUAACACGUGGGCAACCUGCCCCAGACUUCGGGAUAACGCUUCGAAAGAGGUGCUAAUACCGGAUACGAACUCCUUGGGCAUCCUUGGAUUUGGAAAGUUUUUCGGUCUGGGCUGGGCCCGCGGCCGAUCAGCUUGUUGGUGAGGUAACGGCUCACCAAGGCGACGACGGGUAGCCGGCCUGAGAGGGCGACCGGCCACACUGGGACUGAGACACGGCCCAGACUCCUACGGGAGGCAGCAGUGGGGAAUAUUGCGCAAUGGGCGAAAGCCUGACGCAGCAACGCCGCGUGAGGGAUGACGGCCUUCGGGUUGUAAACCUCUUUCAGCAGGGAAGAAGCGAAAGUGACGGUACCUGCAGAAGAAGCACCGGCUAACUACGUGCCAGCAGCCGCAGUAA
rnacentral:rRNA from 1 species